rnacentral:rRNA from 1 species
UUGACAUACUAAGAACUUUCCAGAGAUGGAUUGGUGCCUUCGGGAACUUAGAUACAGGUGCUGCAUGGCUGUCGUCAGCUCGUGUCGUGAGAUGUUGGGUUAAGUCCCGCAACGAGCGCAACCCUUUUCCUUAUUUGCCAGCGGUUAAGCCGGGAACUUUAAGGAUACUGCCAGUGACAAACUGGAGGAAGGCGGGGACGACGUCAAGUCAUCAUGGCCCUUACGGCCAGGGCUACACACGUGCUACAAUGGUCGGUACAAAGGGUUGCUACCUCGCGAGAGGAUGCUAAUCUCAAAAAAGCCGAUCGUAGUCCGGAUCGCAGUCUGCAACUCGACUGCGUGAAGUCGGAAUCGCUAGUAAUCGCGGAUCAGAAUGCCGCGGUGAAUACGUUCCCGGGCCUUGUACACACCGCCCGUCACACCAUGGGAGUUUGUUGCACCAGAAGUAGGUAGUCUAACCGCAAGGAGGACGCUUACCACGGUGUGGCCGAUGACUGGGGUGAAGUCGUAACAAGGUAGGCGUAGAUGA